rnacentral:rRNA from 1 species
GAUUCCCCUANUAACUGCGAGUGAAGCGGGAAAAGCUCAAAUUUAAAAUCUGGCGGUCUUUGGCCGUCCGAGUUGUAGUCUGGAGAAGUGCUUUCCGCGCUGGACCGUGUACAAGUCUCUUGGAACAGAGCGUCAUAGAGGGUGAGAAUCCCGUCUUUGACACGGACUACCAGUGCUUUGUGAUGCGCUCUCAAAGAGUCGAGUUGUUUGGGAAUGCAGCUCAAAAUGGGUGGUGAAUUCCAUCUAAAGCUAAAUAUUGGCGAGAGACCGAUAGCGAACAAGUACCGUGAGGGAAAGAUGAAAAGCACUUUGGAAAGAGAGUUAAACAGUACGUGAAAUUGCUGAAAGGGAAACGCUUGAAGUCAGUCGCCUUGUCCGGGACUCAGCCUUGCUUCGGCUUGGUGCANUUUCCGG